rnacentral:lncRNA from 1 species
UUAUAAACUCGAUAUUACAUGAGAACUAGUUUAUCAACUAUUAGAUUUUGAAAUAAUAUCACGAAAUGUUAAACACAUCAACAAUAAUUGUAAUUAUCCCAAUACAAUUUCAAAAUCUAAUUGUUUGGCAAAUUGCAGAUACUAACAGUGAAAUAUUCAACCCCAUAAUUUUUGUUGUUGGGUUGGAGGAAUGCACAAACACCUACCAUGUUCACAAAUACAAUUUUCACAGAAGCAUUUGGUGCCUACGCAAUCAGAAUUUUGUUGGCAUUUGAAAUUAAUUACGGGGCCUCUAGCAACAAUCAUUUGCAAAUCUGCAUAAAAAACCAUAUAUAUAUAUAGUUGAAAUCAGAUUUGAAUUACAAUAUUAAUGUUCACAAUUUAUAGUUGAUUGUCUUUGGUUCCUCUCUCUAACUACUGCCUCUGUUCCAUAAUACUUAUCACAUUUCGAAUUUUACGUCCCUUAAGAAAAAUAUUAAAUUUGUAUAAGUUACAAUCAAUUAUUAAGUAAAUUGACUAUAUUACCCUUAAUUUAAUACUAAUUCUCUAAGAAAACCAUUAAAUUGAAGUAAUAAUUAUUGGUUAUGUAUAAAGGGUAAACAUGGAAAAAAGAUAUAUUAUUCAUUGAAACUAGAAAUGUGAUAAGUAUUUUAAAAUAAACUAUUUUCUCAAAUGUGACAAGAAUUAAUGGAAUGGAGGUAACACUAUUUAGACAAUUGCUUUUAUUGUGGCAUGCAUAUGUGCGCAUUUAUGUUUUAUAUCAAAUCCCAAUUUUUCCUUCAAUUUUUGAAAGUUUUUAACCUUUUUUCUAUUUAGAUAACACUUUUAGAAAAUUAAAGUAGUAUUAAUUAUUUUGUUUCAACUUUAUUCUUGUCUAGAUGUUUGCAUUAAACUUUGAUUCAAUUAAACGAUCGUUAAUUAAAGGAUAAUUUAGUCAAUUAUCCUUAUUUUUUUUAGAAUUGAGAUGAUUGAAUUAUUUCAUUUAACUCUUUUGAAAAGUCAAAAAUUAUCAAAUUAAACAAAAUGGAAGAAGUAUAAUCUAUCAAUUAAAUAGGAUAGAAAUGUGAAUUUAAGUUUGCAAGUGGAGGUCAAAACAAGAGGCCCAGAAGUUGGUGUAUGUGAUACAAUAAAUGAUUGCAUAUAGUUCUUAGGAAUCAAUUAGACUCAUCUAUGGCUUACUCAUGGACUAAACCAGUGAAAAAUAUUUCUUUUAUAAAAAUGAUGAAAUUUAUAACCAUACACUGAGAGAAAAAAAGGAUAAAAUGGGAACAAUUUUUAAAAAAAAUUUUAUAUUUUCAUUGAUUUGGUCCAUGAGUGGAUCCAUAAACAACUUGCAAAAAUAGAGGUUCACAAGUGUGUGUCUAUAUGUAUAAUUUAUGUAUACGAGUAAAACCGCGAGUUCAAAAGUUUUACUAAUUAAGUUAUACAUGUUUUGCAAUUCCUUUUCCUUGUCUGCUACUUGAUUUCUAAUCAAGGUCGUAGCACUUAAUAAAUCUGGCCGACAUGCACACCUAUGAUUUAUACAAGAACACCGGUAGGGAUUUUGUCAAUCUCUUGAGAACAUGCUGGAUAAUUUGGAGGGGUGGAUUUACAAUGGGGGCAAGGGGGCACUUGCCCCCACUGGUUUUUUACUGUUUAGUUUAUGAUUUUUUACAUUUUACUGUAUAUAAGUAUGUUAAUUUUUAUUUACUCCAUUAAAUUUUUAUCUUUUAUCCCGCUAAAUUAUUACUUUAUGUAUUGCCCCCACUAAUUAAAUUUUCUAGAUCCGCACCCGAUAAUUUGCAUAAUGUUUGAUUGUUCUGCAUCCAAAACCAACUCCUAACCUACAAAUCUUAAGCAUUUGUACCUUCCUCACACUUAGUCAAAGCUUAUAUAACAAUAGUAUAAAAACAAGCAAUUAUACAGAAAAGGAAAAUUGACAAACCAGAGACAAUCAGCAGGGAAAUUGCAAUGAAAGCAAACUUGAGUGCCUCCAUCUUCACACAAGAUGUAUUUAAGUCUCUAA